rnacentral:rRNA from 1 species
UACGUAGGGUGCAAGCGUUAAUCGGAAUUACUGGGCGUAAAGCGUGCGCAGGCGGCUAUGCAAGACAGAUGUGAAAUCCCCGGGCUUAACCUGGGAACUGCAUUUGUGACUGCAUGGCUAGAGUACGGUAGAGGGGGAUGGAAUUCCGCGUGUAGCAGUGAAAUGCGUAGAUAUGCGGAGGAACACCGAUGGCGAAGGCAAUCCCCUGGACCUGUACUGACGCUCAUGCACGAAAGCGUGGGGAGCGAACAGG